rnacentral:rRNA from 1 species
GACGAACGCUGGCGGCGUGCUUAACACAUGCAAGUCGAACGGAAAGGCCCUGCUUUUGUGGGGUGCUCGAGUGGCGAACGGGUGAGUAACACGUGAGUAACCUGCCCUUGACUUUGGGAUAACUUAAGGAAACUGGGGCUAAUACCGGAUAGGAGCUCCUGCUGCAUGGUGGGGGUUGGAAAGUUUCGGCUGUUGGGGAUGGACUCGCGGCUUAUCAGCUUGUUGGUGGGGUAGUGGCUUACCAAGGCUUUGACGGGUAGCCGGCCUGAGAGGGUGACCGGCCACAUUGGGACUGAGCUACGGCCCAGACUCCUACGGGAGGCAGCAGUGGGGAAUAUUGCACAAUGGGCGGAAGCCUGAUGCAGCAACGCCGCGUGCGGGAUGACGGCCUUCGGGUUGUAAACCGCUUUCGCCUGUGACGAAGCGUGAGUGACGGUAAUGGGUAAAGAAGCACCGGCUAACUACGUG